UCGCUGAGCACUCAAAAAUCGGGAACAUACUAUUCAAUUUGGUGGAAUAUCAGUGUAUCCAUUCCAUGUAUAUUGCAAUUUACGACUGUGGUAAUACCUGCGGUAUUACUAUGUUUGGGCCCGUCUUACAAUCAUAGUUCAAACCUCGGAUACGCUGCUUAACCCACUGAUUUUACCGGCCGAAUUCCGUGGUUUAACCUUAGCRGUUACUGUAGUUAGUUUAACUGCUGUAAAACGCGAUUUUAAUAUUUAAUGAAGACAUUUAUUAGAAUUUAUAACUCAUARUAGUUAUUACUCAACGAAUGUAAUUCGGAAUUGUGUAGACUGUCACAGUGUCACUUCACCGUUCAUCAUUCUAUCUAAUCAGUGUUCAGUUGUUCAGUAAUCACCUGGAUAAUUUUCCACAAUAAUAUUAUUCUAUGGAUUAUGGAAUGUAUUUAUGUAUGAAUUAUAUAAUAAUAUCGUAACCGUCAAAACCAAGGUCGUUCAAUGACCAAUCACAAAUCUACCUCCAUAAAACAAAUUUUUAAUUUACUGAUACUGGCCACUACUGUACCAUAAUAGUAGUAAUCUGUGUUUAAUAUAUUUAACGUACGCAGAUGCUAUUUCCAUUUGUAAUUCACUAUAACGAUAAUAAUUUUUGAUGAUAUAUUAUCAUACUGUGGCAAUCAAAUCGUCUGUAGACUGUAAGCAGUAAGCACUUGUACCUUCCCUGUCUGUAUUGCUCAUCCGGCGGUACAUCUCURUCGGCCAGUGGUAUUCAUCAUCGUCGUGGUACAAGACAAUCAUUGAGGUAUGUAAGUAAUAUCAUAUUAUAAUUGCCUAGAAUUCCAGGUAGCUACGCAACAUUCUAUUCAACCCUUACACUUGUGGUAAACAUUUUUAACCAAUAACCAUGAUGCACGGCAUCAAAUUCUGUACCUACUCRCCCUUUAACCCCUUAAUAUAUUUCAUUAUUUAACAUGAUUACCUAUUAUGUUAAUAUUUUAAUUUUUGUUUUAUGUUAUCAGUUAUAAUAUAUUCAAUCACCCCACCUCCCCCCAAAAAAUGUCCACCAUAAUGCUUAGGAGUCAAAGAUCCCGUUUGCCUCAUCACUGUACUUAGAUGCCAUUAGGU